ACACGUAGGUGGCAAGCGUUAUUCGGAUUUACUGGGCGUAAAGGGUCCGCAGGGGGCCUGACAAGUCUGUCGUGAAAGGCCAAGGCUCAACCUUGGCACUGCGGUGGAAACAGUCGGGCUAGAGUCAGUGAGGGGCAGACGGAACACCUGGUGUAGCGGUGGAAUGCGUAGAUAUCAGGUGGAACACCUAUGGCGAAGGCGGUCUGCUGGCACAUGACUGACCCUCAGGGACGAAAGCGUGGGUAGCAAACAGGAUUAGAUACCCUGGUAGUCCACGCCGUAAACGAUGGAUACUAGGUGUAGGAGGUAUCGACCCGUUCUGUGCCGCAGCUAACGCAAUAAGUAUCCCGCCUGGUGAGUACGGUCGCAAGGCUGAA
rnacentral:rRNA from 1 species